AGCGAACGCUGGCGGCAGGCUUAACACAUGCAAGUCGAGCGGGCAUCCUUGUGGUGUCAGCGGCAGACGGGUGAGUAACGCGUGGGAACGUGCCCUUCGGUUCGGAAUAACUCAGGGAAACUUGAGCUAACACCGGAUACGUGCGAGAGCAGAAAGGUUUAUCUGCCGAAGGAUCGGCCCGCGUCUGAUUAGCUAGUUGGUGAGGUUACGGCUCACCAAGGCGACGAUCAGUAGCUGGUCUGAGAGGAUGAUCAGCCACACUGGGACUGAGACACGGCCCAGACUCCUACGGGAAGCAGCAGUGGGGAAUAUUGGACAAUGGGGGCAACCCUGAUCCAGCCAUGCCGCGUGAGUGAUGACGGCCUUAGGGUUGUAAAGCUCUUUUCUCCGGGACGAUAAUGACGGUACCGGAGGAAUAAGCCCCGGCUAACUUCGUG
rnacentral:rRNA from 1 species